AAAAAAAAAAAAGAAAAAGAAAAAGAACCUCUUGUAACCGAGUGGGGAUGACGGCAGAGGUCUCUAAAGGAUGGCUGAGAGGAUGGGCAGAUGGGGCAACAGGAGCAGUGCGGGCCUCUCCUGACGCUGCGGUGCACACUGCACCCGCUUCCCGGACAUCCUGAACAUCCUGGGGAAACCCAGGACCAGACCCAACCCAACUAAAGCGUGGGUUCUUCAAGCUCUUGCUGACCCUCCUGCGCUCUUCCCAGACGAAGAUACUUGCAUUGGUGAACCAUACCACCUGAGGAUCUUGGAGGAGUAGGUCACUGAUGUCUUACCUGCUUGCAUAGUUCUGAGAGAUUGCGUGUUCCCAAGACUGGCUAAUCUUUGGGCCUAUAGGCAUAACCUCAGGAGUGUCUAAGAGCACAGCCUGAUACUUGGUCUCAAUUAUUGAAUGUAGAAAGAGCCAUGUCCAGCAAUUGGGUUAUAAGUAUCUGAGGCCCCCUCUGAAGGUUUUGCAGUUUAUGGUGACUACUUGGGGCUGACUGACAGAUGAAAUAUUGACCCAUUAGUGCCUCUCCCUCCAUAGAUCAGUCUAUAUUUGCAGAAGAUCUUUGCUAAUUGCUUAUGGGACAAAGCUGGAUUUUCCCUUGCACCCUGUAAGACCCCACUCACUGUGUCAUAAUUAACAGACUUUUAAAUGCACCUUUUCUUUUUCUUUCCUUUUUUGUUUUGA